rnacentral:rRNA from 1 species
UACGGUGGGUGCGAGCGUUAAUCGGAAUUACUGGGCGUAAAGGGCGCGUCGGCGGUGGGUUACGUCUGCCGUGAAAUCCCCGGGCUCAACCUGGGAAUGGCGGUGGAAACGGGCUGACUGGAGUAUGAGAGAGGGUGAUGGAAUUCCAGGUGUUGCGGUGAAAUGCGUAGAGAUCUGGAGGAACAGCAGUGGCGAAGGUGGUCACCUGGCCCAAUACUGACGCUGAGGCGCGAAAGCGUGGGGAGCAAACAGG